rnacentral:antisense_RNA from 1 species
AGGAUUGGGGAGCACGUUUUGCGUCUUGCUGUGCGUGAGGAAGCUGGGCUCCAGCUCAAGGCUAUGGAAAGGCAGGACUUUGAAAUGACCCUGUCCUCAGCCUGGAGGAUACAGUAUUCUGAUUGCCUGGUGCUGUGUCAACUGGGCCUGCCUCUGGGAUAGUGUUGUGCCUGCCCCACGAGAACCCUAUAUGCCAAUUCCAGAAGCAAAAACAAAACAAAAAAAGUUCGGGUACAGCGGCUCACACCUGUAAUCCCAGCUCUUAGGGAGAUGGAGACUGGAGGAUCACUUGAGGCCAGGAGUUCAAGACCAGCCUGGGCAACAUAGCAAGACCCAGUCUCUUAAAAGAAAAUUAAAAAGAAAGAAUAAAUAAAGUUCCAGAAGCUUGCUCUCCUU